GCUCAGGACGAACGCUGGCGGCGUGCUUAACACAUGCAAGUCGAACGAUGAAGCCCAGCUUGCUGGGUGGAUUAGUGGCGAACGGGUGAGUAACACGUGGGUGAUCUGCCCUGCACUUCGGGAUAAGCCUGGGAAACUGGGUCUAAUACCGGAUAGGACCUCGGGAUGCAUGUUCCGGGGUGGAAAGGUUUUCCGGUGCAGGAUGGGCCCGCGGCCUAUCAGCUUGUUGGUGGGGUAACGGCCCACCAAGGCGACGACGGGUAGCCGGCCUGAGAGGGCGACCGGCCACACUGGGACUGAGACACGGCCCAGACUCCUACGGGAGGCAGCAGUGGGGAAUAUUGCACAAUGGGCGCAAGCCUGAUGCAGCGACGCCGCGUGAGGGAUGACGGCCUUCGGGUUGUAAACCUCUUUCAGUACCGACGAAGCGCAAGUGACGGUAGGUACAGAAGAAGCACCGGCCAACUACGUGCCAGCAGCCGCGGUAAUACGUAGGGUGCGAGCGUUGUCCGGAAUUACUGGGCGUAAAGAGCUCGUAGGCGGUUUGUCGCGUCGUCUGUGAAAACCCGCAGCUCAACUGCGGGCUUGCAGGCGAUACGGGCAGACUUGAGUACUGCAGGGGAGACUGGAAUUCCUGGUGUAGCGGUGAAAUGCGCAGAUAUCAGGAGGAACACCGGUGGCGAAGGCGGGUCUCUGGGCAGUAACUGACGCUGAGGAGCGAAAGCGUGGGUAGCGAACAGGAUUAGAUACCCUGGUAGUCCACGCCGUAAACGGUGGGCGCUAGGUGUGGGUUUCCUUCCACGGGAUCCGUGCCGUAGCUAACGCAUAAGCGCCCCGCAUGG
rnacentral:rRNA from 1 species